ensembl:lncRNA
GGCUGUUCCUGAACUAGGACCUUAACAAGCUGUGAAGCCCCGACUGACCCGGUCCUGUCCUGUCGAGAUUUAGAAAACACUCGUAUGGUUCCCUCCUGCUUCUGCCUCGAGGGAAGUGGGGGUAAAUUGGGAAUAUCAUAAGACGGGGCUUUCCACAGCUGGAAUCGAGAUUUCUCUUGUUGAUUUCUGCUGAUGGGGGGGGGGGGAUUGGUGAGCUCCUUCACAGAGGCCACGGGGACACCGUCCUUGUCCCCCCCCUCACCCGUCUGCAGGGCCAUAUGUAACUGAGACGGGUGGAACUACACAUCUACAACUGGAGCUGCAGAGUAUCAACCUGAAAGGGUGCUGCAGACAGGAGACCCGAAGACAGGACAGCAUGCCGCUGCUGCUGAGGAGGACGAUGCUGAUGCUGAAGAUGAUGCCACGACCAAAGCAAUGCUGCCACCUGCUGAGCAGAAGACGCUCAUCCUGUCAGAGAUAACGUGAAAGGACGACACAUUGGAUUAUUACUAAUAAUCAUAUUCUGGUGUUUAUAUAUAUAUAUCGAUGAUCAAAAUACAAUUUACUUUGUAGAUUACACCAUUGUGAGGUGUCUCUAUCAGGGAUAGAUUAGUUUUUUAAAAUUGACAUGUAAUGGGGUAUAAUCAAGAAAAUAAAGACAGUCGAGAUGGUUGUGGAUUUCCAGAGGAACAGGCUCAGCAGAGGUUGUUCUUCCUGAGGCAGCUGAAGAAAUUCAACCUGCCAAAGACGAUGAUGGUCCACUUCUACACGGCCAUCAUGGAGUCCAUCCUCUGCUCCUCCAUCACCGUCUGGUACGCUGCAGCCACAGCCAAGGACAAGGGCAGGCUGCAGCGUGUCAUCCGCUCUGCAGAGAGGGUGAUCGGCUGCAACCUGCCGUCCCUGCAGGACUUGUUCACUUCCAGGUCUCUGAAGCGAGCUAAAAAGAUCGUGGCCGACCCCUCUCACCCCGGACAAAACCUGUUUGUGCCCCUUUCAUUCCACCUCCCGCCACACCAACAGUUUCUUCCCGUCGGCAGUCGGGCCUGCCCGGGUCUUGUUGUCUAUUGUUACACUGUCUACUGUCACGCACCAACCGCCAAGACAAAUUCCUUGUAUGUUUGACAUAUUUUGGCAAUAAAUGUUUCCUGAUUCGUGAUUCGUGAUCCUGAA